rnacentral:lncRNA from 1 species
AGCGGUUUCUGAUCAUGAUGUGUGUGUUUUGCUGGCUUCAGGAACACCUUGACAAUGAGUCUUCAUCCUGGAGGAGAACAUCAGCUCUGCCACUCUCAACUUGGUAGAUUCCUCUGCUGAGAGACUCCUGUCACGGGACCCUGACUUAGUUUCCAUGGGGACCCAGAGCAGGCGGCAUACUGAGAGAAAGAAGUGGACAACAGAUGAAAGAAGAGUGACAUGCUUGGCAGGCAGCAAUAAAUUAGGCCCACAUAUG